UUCUCACUGACGAGUCCUAAAUAGGACAAAACGUGCGUCCUGAAAU
rfam:Schistosoma haematobium scaffold4050_2, whole genome shotgun sequence.